AGGCACAUCCUCUCCUCUGCAGAGCCCUCUGUCCACAAUGCCCCAAGCAGGUCCCCCGGGAGACCCAGGCCAGGCUAAGCCUACAGGCACUGUGGUUCCCGGGCCCUGCCUGACCUGCCCUCUCUCCCGCCCUUCCCCAGCCAUGGACCAGCUGGCCAAGACCACCCAGGAAACCAUCGACAAGACUGCUAACCAGGCCUCUGACACCUUCUCUGGGAUUGGGAAAAAAUUCGGCCUCCUGAAAUGACAGCAGGGAGACUUGGGUCGGCCUCCUGAAAUGACAGCAGGGAGACUUGGGUGACCCCCCUUCCAGGCGCCAUCUAGCACAGCCUGGCCCUGAUCUCCGGGCAGCCACCACCUCCUCGGUCUGCCCCCUCAUUAAAAUUCACGUUCCCACCCUGUGUCCACUUCAUGAUUCCUCGCAAGCUGGGCCCAGUCCUCUCAUCCCAAGAGCAGAGCCACCGUAGCCGGAGUCCUAGCCUCCCAAAUUCGGAAAUCCAAUCCAACGGUCUCAGGAAUGUUUUCCAUCCCGCCACGCGCCUCCCGAAGCUCCCAGACCGGAGGCUCAGCCCCCAUCUCGGUAAAAUACCUGUUUUCUGACAAGACUAGGACUCUUACAUAGACUGCCAUGAACUACAAGAAGUAUAGCAUUGCUCAAAUAACCUGUGGUUAGAGUUACUUGUUAUUGGUAAAUAGCCACUGUGGAGACUAAGGACCAAAAGAAACACAGAAAGAAAUUUUACAGAAGAAAAACAGUGGGCCCAAAGCUGAAAAGAAAAAGAAGCAGCAUCUGCAGGAUCUCCAGCUAGGGGAUGAAGAAGAUGUCUGGAAGAGAAAUCCCAAAGCUUUUGCAAUUCAGUCUGCUGUGGGGAUGGCUUGAUCCUUUCACAGGACUCAGGAUUUGAAGACAAAAAAGCAUCAUAUUCCAGUGGUUGAUCAGACUCCACUAGAGCCGCCACCAAUAGUGAUAGUGGUGACGGGGCCUCCAAAAGUUGGAAAGAGCACUUUGAUAUAAUGCCUCAUUGGGAACUUCACCCAGCAGAAGUUGACCGAGAUCAGAGGCCCUGUGAUGAUCGUGUCAGGUAAAAAGCUCCGACUCACCAUUAUUGAAUGUGGGUGUGACAUUAACAUGAUGAUUGAUCUGGCUGAAGUAGCAGAUCUGGUUGCCAAGCUGUUCUACCUUUCUGGAAUGGUGCAUGGAGAAUAUCAAGACCAAGAAAUCCACAAUCUGGGCCAUUUUAUUACAGUUAUGAAGUUUAGGCCUCUCACAUGGCAGACGUCUCAUCCUUAUAUCCUGGCAGACAGGAUGGAAGAUUUGAAAAACCCAGAGGAUAUCUGAACAAAAUGUGACUGGCAGGUGUCACUUUAUGGUUAUUUAAGAGGAGCACACUUGAAAAAUAAAAGCCAAAUUCACAUGCCAGGUAUCUACUGAGCGUUUCAGUCAACAAUACAGCUCGUGUUCGACAAUAUUCCUUGAUGGCAGCACAGCCAGCCAGCAUUAUCUUAUAAUGACAAUAAUAUCUGUGACCUUGGAGAUACAUCAUCAUAUCACGGAAAGAGAUGCAGAUAGAUCUUUGACCAUACUUGAUGAACAGUUAUACUCAUUUGCGUUUUCCACCGUGCACAUUACGAAGAAAAGAAAUGGAGGUGGGAGUUUAAAUAACUAUUCCUCCUCCAUUCCAUUGACUCCCAGCACCAGCCAGGAGGACCUUUAUUUCAGUGUUCCUCCCACUGCCAACACACCCACGCCCAUUUGCAAGCAGUCCAUGGGCUGGUCCAACCUGUUUACAUCUGAGAAAGGGAGUGACCCAGACAAAGGGAGGAAAGCCCUGGAGAGUCACGCUGACACCAUCGGGAGCGGCAGAGCCAUCCCCAUUAAACAGGGCAUGCUCUUAAAGCGAAGUGGGAAAUGGCUGAAGACAUGGAAAAAGAAAUAUGUCACCCUGUGUUCCAAUGGCGUGCUCACCUAUUAUUCAAGCUUAGGUGAUUAUAUGAAGAAUAUUCAUAAAAAAGAGAUUGACCUUCGGACAUCUACCAUCAAAGUCCCAGGAAAGUGGCCAUCCCUAGCCACAUCGGCCUGCGCACCCAUCUCCAGCUCUAAAAGCAAUGGCCUAUCCAAGGACAUGGAAGCUCUGCAUAUGUCAGCCAAUUCAGACAUCGGGCUGGGUGACUCCAUAUGCUUCAGCCCCAGUAUCUCCAGCACCACCAGCCCCAAGCUCAACCUGCCCCCCUCCCCUCAUGCCAAUAAAAAGAAACACCUAAAGAAGAAAAGCACCAACAACUUAAAAGAUGAUGGCCUGUCCAGCACUGCUGAGGAAGAAGAAGAAAAGUUUAUGAUUGUGUCCGUCACUGGCCAAACGUGCCACUUUAAAGCCACGACGUAUGAGGAGCGGGAUGCCUGGGUCCAAGCCAUCCAGAGCCAGAUCCUGGCCAGCCUGCAGUCAUGCGAGAGCAGUAAAAGCAAGUCCCAGCUGACCAGCCAGAGUGAGGCCAUGGCCCUGCAGUCGAUCCAAAACAUGCGUGGGAACUCCCACUGCGUGGACUGUGAGACCCAGAAUCCUAAGUGGGCCAGUUUGAACUUGGGAGUCCUCAUGUGUAUUGAAUGUUCAGGAAUCCACCGCAGUCUUGGCACCCGCCUUUCCCGUGUGCGAUCUCUGGAGCUGGAUGACUGGCCAGUUGAGCUCAGGAAGGUUAUGUCAUCUAUUGGCAAUGACCUAGCCAACAGCAUCUGGGAAGGGAGCAGCCAGGGGCAGACGAAACCCUCAAUAGAGUCAACGAGGGAAGAGAAGGAACGGUGGAUCCGUUCCAAAUAUGAGCAUAAGCUCUUUCUGGCCCCACUACCCUGCACUGAGCUGUCCCUGGGCCAGCACCUGCUGCGGGCCACCGCUGAUGAGGACCUGCGGACAGCCAUCCUGCUGCUGGCACAUGGCUCCCGUGAGGAGGUGAACGAGACCUGUGGGGAGGGAGACGGCUGCACGGCGCUCCAUCUGGCCUGCCGCAAGGGGAAUGUGGUCCUGGCGCAGCUCCUGAUCUGGUACGGGGUGGACGUCAUGGCCCGAGAUGCCCACGGGAACACAGCGCUGACCUACGCCCGGCAGGCCUCCAGCCAGGAGUGCAUCAACGUGCUUCUGCAGUACGGCUGCCCCGACGAGUGCGUGUAGUAUCUGUUUUAUUUGACUGCAGUCUCCUUGGUGUAAAAACAAAAUGGGAAAAAUAAGGAUAACUCAGAAUUUCAAAAGGAAAUCACAAAUUCAGCUAAUAAUAGCAUUUUCAGUACUUUUCGUAAACUAAGUAAAUACACAAAAUGUUGAUUUUUCUGACCAUAAGACAUAUUUUAUGUCCUUUUGCCGAGGUGGGUGUGUUAGUCUCAGGCCCUCCUGGCCACAUUGCCCAAGUCACACAGGCUUCUGUAUUAUGUAUUUAGAUAAGAUGUGUGAAAAUAUAUUUGAAAAAAAGUUCAUAAAUAUGCAUUGAUUUUUGUA
rnacentral:lncRNA from 1 species